rnacentral:lncRNA from 1 species
GGGGCCGACUCGACUAAUGUCGACAUUAAACAAUGUCUGAGUAGAAAGCAACUCCUUCAGCUCUAGAACUUUGAAGCUACGUAGGAUCUCCAUUUCUUGCCUCCAGUGCUAGUCCAAUAUAGGCUCUUUCAGCAUGGCUUCUUGAGGUUCGCCCAAGGCGACGAACCCCCAAUCUUCCCCAGACGUCUAGGAGACAAAGAAAAGCAUUCCUUCUAGCCAUGGACAGCGGUCGGAGCAUCUUGGAUCAGCGGUCAGAUAUUUUUUCUCCUCGACGACGAUAUGUACCACCAUCCACGAGAUUCUGGAUGCCUCUUAAGGUUGAAGAAGAGGUGAAAAAGUGCAAUGCUGGGCUUGAUCUCGGCCAGCAUGCACACUGUGGUGAAACCACAAAUGUGCCACCAUGAAUUGGGUACCAUCGAACACGGUGAUAUCUCAAAAAAUCAAAAGAAAGCAAUGAAGAAGGGGUGAAGGGAGAGCCUCAAUCCAACUCAAAUGCACUCUUCAUAGAGGCUUAUCCAGCCUGCUGGUGGUUGGCAGACUCGAUUGUCUGGCUCUGAAAUUUUCAAU